CACAGGCACUUCUGCCCUCGGUGAGAUCACAAAAGCUCAGCCGAUCACUGCCAGAUGCUCCAUCCCCACCGGAUCCUUUUUAUUUUAUGACGGUGAUAGCAGAAUCCAUUGGCAGGAAGAAAGGCCCAGAAGCGAACGGAACGCCGAUGCCAAGACUUCCCUCUUUGACACGCAAGAAGAGACGGGGCAAAGGACACUGGGAACGAGGGAGCCUCAGGUGGUGUACAUGAGCCUCUUCCCCUGCAUUUAAUCUUCACAACGACUCUGCGAGGUAGACUGGGCUAAGCGGUGGGGACUAGAACCCAGACGCCCCAAGCUCCAGUCCAGACUUCUAACCACUGGCUCCCACUGCACGGUGCCCCUGAACAAGCCCAUGAGGGGACGCAUGAAGGGGAAAGGAAGGGGCGCCCCCAGAAAGCAUGCACGGAAAUGCAAUGGGGCACCGGGGAUUGUCCCGGGAACAGAUGUGGAAUACCGGCAUGCCAGGAUAUCUGCCCGUCACCGAAGCAGUGGAGGAGGAGAAGGGCGUUCACUGGUGAUUUGCUUCCAUGUCCACCAGACCGGAAGAAGAGAAAGCUGAGUGCGGGAGAGACGAUAAUGGUUCCCGGUAGGGUUGGCGUGUCCCUGGCUGCCGUGAUUCUGCAGCGGGCGCUGAGUCAGCUGGAGACUUCACUCCCCCAGCUGUGCUGAG